CAAAGGUAGCGUAAUCAUUUGUCUUUUAAAUAAAGACCAGUAUGAAUGGCAAAACGAAAGCCUCACUGUCUCUCUAACUAAGUCAAUGAAAUUGAUCUCUCCGUGCAGAAGCGGAAAUAAAAAUAUAAGACGAGAAGACCCUGCGGAGCUUUAAACUCUAUUAACAACUAUAAAUGCUUUAAUAUAAGUUUUUGGUUGGGGCGACCAUGAGGUAUAGAAUAACCCUCACGACACUAAUUAAGAAGGACACUUCAAAUAACUAGUAUAGUAUAUUGACCCAAUAAUUGAUCACGAACCAAGUUACCCCAGGGAUAACAGCGCAAUCUACUCAAAAAGUCCCUAUCGACGAGCAGGUUUACGACCUCGAUGUUGGAUCAGGACUCCCAAAUAGCGCAACAGCUAUUAAAGGUUCGUUUGUUCAACGAUUAAAGU
rnacentral:rRNA from 1 species